GCCGCGCGGUGGGACGUGGCCCGCGUCGCCGGCGGUGCCGUGCUCGUGGUGCCGAAGGGGGCCGCGCCGCGGUUCGACCCCGAGCGCGCCGCG
rnacentral:tRNA from 1 species